AUGACUACAGGUCAGAAGAUAAUGAAGCUUAUUUUUGUAAUCAUACUCAAUAAUUUCAUGUCAAGAAAUGUUGUUUAAGAGCCAAGGAAUCUAGCAUGUCUCAAAAAUGAUGAACCAAAUCAAGAAUUAUCUACUUUAACCCAGUUGUUUGAAUGUACACAUAAAUGGAUGGAAGGACGUGCAUAUUUUCAUAAAUAUGGUGACACAAAGA
rnacentral:lncRNA from 1 species